ensembl:lncRNA
GGGGUUGACGGAUGGGGUUGAAGGAUGGGGGUUGAAGGAUGGGGGUUGAAAGAUGGGGUUGAAGGAUGGGGUUGAAGGAUGGGGGUUGAAGGAUGUGGGUUGAAGGAUGGAAGUUGAAGGAUGGGGUUGAGGGAUGGGGGUUGAAGGAUGGAAGUUGAAGGAUGGGCUUGAGGGAUGGGGGUGAAGGAUGGGUUGAGGGAUGGGGGUUGAAGGAUAGGGUUGAGGGAUGGGGGUUGACGGAUAGGGUUGAGGGAUGGGGGUGAAGGAUGGGGGUUGAAGGAUGGGUUGAGGGCUGGUUGAAGGAUGGGGUUGAGGGAUGGGGGUUGAAGGAUAGGGUUGAGGGAUGGGGUUUGUUGAAGGAUGGGGGUUGAAGGAUGGGGUUGAGGGAUGGGGGUUGAAGGAUGGGGGUUGAAGGAUGGGGUUGAGGGGAUGGGGGUUGAAGGAUGGGGGUUGAAGGAUGGGGUUGAGGGAUGGGGGGUUGAAGGAUGGGGUUGAGGGAUAGGGGUGAAGGAUGGAGGUUGAAGGAUGGGGUUGAAGGAUGGGGUUGAGGGAUAGGGUUGAAGGAUGGGGGUUGAAGGAUGGGGUUGAAGGAUGGGGUUGAGGGAUAGGGGUUGAAGGAUGGGGUUGAAGGAUGGGGGUUGAAGGAUGGGGUUGAGGGAUGGGGGUUGAAGGAUGGGGUUGAAGGAUCGGAUAGGACGAGGAUUUAAGCGAGCUUUCGUUCAGAGAACGGUGGACGUUCAAUAUAAGUAGCUGGUGUUAAGCAUAUUAAAGAUCCAUAUGAGGUCAAACUCAUGGAUGAGAUGAGACUCAAAGACUCACUCAUCGGUCAAAAGUUAUAAUCAAAGUGAUUUUUAUAGGGUUCUGCGAUGAAAGCUUGGAAUUUAAACACCCACACACGUUAUGCCUCAGAGCAGUGAUGAGAGCAAAUCAAUGUUGGAACAAAACACCUCUCAAACGCACAGAAAACCACAGCUUGAGAACCUGGAUCUCAAAUUCAAUCAUCAAAGGAAAUGGAGCUUGACAACAUAAUGGAAGGAACCGAAGGUGGUAAUUAUACAGUGAAAUUAUUUAAUGUGCCUCUCUAAGAAUCAUAUGCAGCAUUUGAGAGCACGGAUCCAAAAUGAUUGAAUUACCAACUUAUAAUUUCUCUGAUGAGUCAGUGGACGGAGGAAACUCUGUGCUGAAGAAGAAUAAUUUGAUGAUUUAAAGUAAUUGUCGGUUGAGCUCGUCAUCAUAAUUGCAGCCGUUGAGGAUUACAAGGACAAUAGUGUAGAUUAUGACACAUUGAUAAUGACAAAGAUUACCGUCAUCACGUCCUAUACAACAUUAAAAAAAGUGACACAAGAGAGCUAAAAUGAAAGAAUGAAGCGGUUCCUAUUGUCGGCGUGUGUGUGUGUGUGUAACUACAUCGGUUUAGAAAAAGUUACUCCUCAUUUGUUGAAGACCUUCAACGCGUUAAAUGGAUAAACGUCCGUCUUCAAGUUAUCUCAAUUACUGAGGUUUAGGAAACAGAAAGAAAGCCACCCUUGAUGUUCACGUAACACCUUCAAUGAAGCAAGUGUUGUUGCACGAGGGUGACAGGAAGUGAACCCCCAACAACUGUUCUGCUCCGUGUCUGAACCUCCAGUCCGAUCCGUCAGAAUAUGAAAACCGCCAAAGAGCAAAAACUAAAUGAAAAUGAUUGAUUCCUCUUUUUUUAAAUUACUUAAAUCAAUUUCUAUUGAACGACUUAAAACCCACGCGGGCUGACUCAGAGCUGUAGACAUUGAGGCAUAAUGAAUAAUAAAUGACAGGACGAGGGGAUAAUAAUAAAAUGUCAAAGGGAGAAUUCCUGUUGAUUCAGUGAGACCCGGCAGGAAGAAGAAAGGAGGCAGAAUGCGUUUAAAGUUAAUGCAAACGGUGUUGCACAGGAACAGAAGAACAGAGAAUCGCAAGAGAUGAAGGCAGAGAAGAACGACAAGUAAUGAAAAAGAAAGGGAAGGGAUUCACGCAGACGGACGCACCAGGAGAAAAGGCCAGAAGAAGAGAGGCGGCGAAGGCGCCUCGAGCCGGUGAUGCGGCGUCGAGCGCGAGUUCAAUCUCUGGCUGGCUGAGCGGCCGUGGGCCUCCUUCAAGCCGCCGCCGCCGCCUCGUCUCAGGCUCCACGCGCAGCUUUUGCUGGUGAAUAAACGGACACGCUGUCUUUUUUCUCACCGACAUCAACACCCAUGUAAAAAACACACGCACAGAAAGGCCGAUAAACAAACGUCCCGCGACUGUCCCCCGGCAAUGGAAAUGUCUUUUGACCUGGACGUUUGAUUCUGCGCACGGUGAGUCCGCUACUAGAAGCUUAUGAGGUAUAUUUGUGUCUUUACUUUAUUGCAUAAUAAAGACAAAUAUACCUUCAUAGUCUGUGGGCGCCGUCCCUCCAUCUUCUGCUUGAGCGGGUGGGAAAAUGUCUCCAAUGCUCUUCGUUUCUCCCGCUUCCUCUCCCCUCCCCCGUCCACCCUCCUUUAUCCCUCAUUCCCACCGAGGUGCUCCUUCCAUCUCACCCUCUCCCGACAAUAUGCUGGCUCAUCAGCAUUUAAAGGAGCAGGAACUCCAAACUGUGGAGGUGCUGUUUUAAAUGAUCCUUGUGGUAUUUUGACCAAAGCACGAAUGUCACUCAGGCUCCGUUGUUUACUUCUCUUGUGUUUUUUUUUCUCACUUUUAACAAUUUCAUCCGUCCCUUCCUUCCUCCAUCCAUAUUCAGGCAUCAUUUGAUUAAUAAACUGAUAUCAAAUAAAAGACAUGUUUUGGGAAGUAUAACGUUUGGUGGUCUGUGACAAUGACGGUUUGAUCCACUCAUGCAGAAAAGCGAAUGCGCCUGCAGGGAAAAGUAAGAGAGGACAGAAAGAAAGAGGAACAGAACACAUGAAAAAGAGGAGAUGAGAUGAGAUGAGAAUGAAACAGAAGAGAGCAACAGGAGCAUCGCUAACAGAUAUUAUCUGUAUACAUUAUGAAACUCUUUUUAUUCUUUUACCUCACACAGAAAAAAAGACAACAUUACUGUUGACGUUGUAACACACACACACACACACACACACACACACACACACACGCACCG